rnacentral:lncRNA from 1 species
UUUUCUUUUUCUACACAUACGAUGAGAUAUAUAUAGAGAGAUAUGGAGCAAAACCCCAUCGCCCACCACUACACCACCCGACGACGGCGAUGAGUGAACUCCACCGCUUCACAGUCCUACCAACCAACGAUGACGCUGAGUGAAUAGCCGGCUCUCUGGCGGCUAGGGUUCCGCUGGAAACCCGACAAAGGAGAUGAUCGGAGGUUGUCGGCUCUUCUGCGUGCUCUUGUCCUGGUUCUUCAAUUUUUGGUCAGAUCUAAUUCACAUAGUAAAGGGAUUUUAGAUUUCAUCUGGCUUGAUGGUCCAAUUUCCCUAUUUUGAAAGGGUAAAAGAAAAGAGAAAAAACUCACAAGCAGCGAACCAUAGGAUGGAGGUAGUAGGAGGCGUCAAUCGAACCAGAAAAACCAGAUAAAAUAGAUGACCAUGAGCAGCGAAACUUCAUGCGAUUUAAUCACAAGCAUCAGACCAAACUAGAAGCAAAAAUCAGGUCCAUCACACAUAUGUAGCUGCUAGAUCUUAUGGUGCUUUUAAAAGGUCCCAAGCGUGGAAAACCAUCCGACGUAUUGAGAAUGAGGCAGAUGCUCAUAAAACUUAAGCACCACAGCCCUCUUCACCUUAAAUAAAUGACACUGCCGCCUGCUGAUAUGUAUGUCAAGGCCGAUGCAGCUAAAGUUCCUAUUGUUGUUGCUUAAGUGUGUUAAUGGUGUUUCUGUCACCUCUCAGUUUUGUCAAUAUAUAAUAGUUCAUUGAGGGAGGAUUUCGAGUUUUAGACGUGAAUGUAAGGGUGUCCGGGGCACCUUAGGUGACCCCUUUAGGUGACUCCAUUCACCUAUUAGGUGAGCAUUGCCAACACUUAGGUGAGUUAGAGAGAGAGUAGAGAGAGAGGGUGAAAUAGGUGGGGAGUUGCCGAGAGAGGGGAGGAGAGAGGGAGGAGAGAGGGAGAUCUUGACCAAUCAAUGCUUUUCUUCUUUUUUUUUUUUUUUUUUUUUUAAAAAAAAAACAAUUCACCUAAGAGGGGAGUGCCGCCAUCAAAAAGGGGUAUUAGGGGAGUGUUAGAGGGGAGUUGACGUGGCAUUUUAUGGUUGGUUAUGUGUAAGAGGGGGGACUCACCUAAGAGGUGAGCACCCCUUACACCCUAACUAUGACAUUUUUUUGGAUCCAAAGAAAUUGUCGAUGUGACUUCGUUUAAUAGAGGUUCGGCUUUCUAUAAAUACAAACCUAAUUAACACCGCAUCCCGCCGCAUUGCGGCGGGUAGUAUAUCUAGUUAUUCACGAAAUAGCAAUAUAGAGAUGGCUGGUCAACAAAUUCGU